rnacentral:rRNA from 1 species
AUUGAACGCUGGCGGCAGGCCUAACACAUGCAAGUCGAACGAGUGGCGGACGGGUGAGUAAUGUCUGGGAAACUGCCUGAUGGAGGGGGAUAACUACUGGAAACGGUAGCUAAUACCGCAUACCAUCGGAUGUGCCCAGAUGGGAGUAGCUAGUAGGUGGGGUAAAGGCUCACCUAGGCGACGAUCCCUAGCUGGUCUGAGAGGAUGACCAGCGACACUGGAACUGAGACACGGUCCAGACUCGUACGGGAGGCAGCAGUGGGGAAUAUUGCACAAUGGGCGCAAGCCUGAUGCAGCCAUGCCGCGUGUGUGAAGAAGGCCUUCGGGUUGUAAAGCACUUUCAGCGGGGAGGCGUUACCCGAAGAAGAAGCAACGGCUAACUCCGUGCCAGCAGCCGCGGUAAUAC